CCAGGACUUUAUGAAAGAAAAAGCAAUGAUGGUAAAUCUCUAGACUAUCAUCCACUUUCUGGGAUUCCUGCCUCGAAAACGUGAUGUUUGAUUUCCAAAUACAAGCCAGAGUGUACAUGGUUCCCAAGUGUACUAAGUAGGUGAGAAGCUGAAAUCCUAAAAUAUUCAUCCUCCAACUUUCUCCAGUGUGUAGUCUAUCUUUGGCUCAUCAAGAAUGUAGUGCAGUCUUGGAGUUCCCGUCGUGGCUCAGUGGUUAAGGAAUCCGACUAGGAACCAUGGGGUUUCGGGUUCAAUCCCUGGCCUUGCUCAGUGGGUUGGGGAUCUGGCGUUGCCGUGAGCUGUGGUGUAGGUCGCAGAUGCAGCUCGGAUCCCGUGUUGCUGUGGCUCUGGAGUAGGCUGGUGGCUACAGCUCCGAUUUGACCCCUAGCCUGGGAACCUCCAUAUGCCGCGGGAGCGGCCCAAGAAAUAACAAAAAGACAAAAAAUAAAAAAACAAAACAAAACAAACAAACAAACAAAAAAAUGUGGUGCAAUGAGUUCCCGUUGUGGCUCAGUGGUAAUGAACUCGAUUAGUAUCCAUAAAGAUGCAAGUUCGAUCCCUGGCCUCACUCAGUGGGUUAAGGAUUUGGCUUUGCCCUGAGCUGUGGUGUAGUUCACAGAUGAGGCUUGGAUCUGGUGUUGCUGUGCCUGUGGCGUAAGGCAGCAGUUACAGCUCCAGUUCAAACCUAGCCUGGGAACUUCCAUAUGCCAUGGGUACAGCCCUAAAAAGAUAAAAAGAUUAAAAAAAAAAAAAAAAAAAGAAUGUGGUGUAGUGGGUUAAGGAUCUGGUGUUGUCUUUGCAGCAGCAUGGGUUUGAUCCCCGGCCCGGAGCAGUGGGUUAAGGAGCAGGCAUUGCCACAGCUGUGUCAUAGGUUGCAGCUGAAGCUGUCCUGGGAACUUCCAUAUGUCACAGUGCACUGCCCCCCCCAAAAGAAUGGCCUGAACAAUCACUAUGGUGACAUUAAUUUUUAUCUGCAGCUCUCUGAGCUCGUCUCUGUGCAGCAGAAUUUGAGCAGCUUUAUGAGAAUGCAUUUCCUGUGUCAAAACCAAGAAGAUGAUCAUCUAAAGCAACAGGCAAACCUUCUUUUGUUUCAUCUGCUCCAGCAGCUGCAUCCUGUGUCAGGAACUCCUGGACCACCAUAUGAAUUGCCUCAACGGUUACCAGUGUAGCUGGCAGGGUUGCAGUGGUACUGGCUUCUGGCUUGGUCCCCCAGACUUCCACCAGGAGAGGAGAGGCGUGGAGUGAGAGAGGCAGGCACCAACCACGUGCUGAGAGGAGCCUGUUUAUUCUUUGCCUUCCUCAACUCGCGUGAGUUUCACCUCUGCUCCUUCUAAGGUACCCACGGUCAUGAUCACACCCUGGACUUUGCAUCGCCCAGGGCUCCUUCAUUUCUUACAUCUGUGACCACAUCCUCUCAUCCUUCCACAUUUUUUACCCAGUUGCUACCACUAGACCUGUUCUUCAAAUUUGUUAAAACUGCCAAGCCCCUGGCCUCCCUGUUGUCCCCCUUUCUAAUCACUUUUUCUCUUCUAAGUUCCUUUCCUGCCCAAUAAAGACCCAAUGCCUUCACCA
rnacentral:lncRNA from 1 species